rnacentral:rRNA from 1 species
UAGUCCACGCCGUAAACGAUGAAUACUAGGUGUGGGGGUCAUAAGACCUCUGUGCCGAAGCUAACGCAUUAAGUAUUCCGCCUGGGGAGUACGGUCGCAAGACUGAAACUCAAAGGAAUUGACGGGGGCCCGCACAAGCAGCGGAGCAUGUGGUUUAAUUCGAAGCAACGCGAAGAACCUUACCAAGGCUUGACAUCCUCUGACAACCCAAGAGAUUGGGCUUUUCUUCGGAACAGAGUGACAGGUGGUGCAUGGUUGUCGUCAGCUCGUGCCGUGAGGUGUUGGGUUAAGUCCCGCAACGAGCGCAACCCUUAUGUUUAGUUGCCAGCACGUAAUGGUGGGAACUCUAAACAGACCGCCGAGGACAACUCGGAGGAAGGUGGGGACGACGUCAAAUCAUCAUGCCCCUUAUGUCUUGGGCUACACACGUGCUACAAUGGCAGAUACAAAGAGCUGCGAUACCGUAAGGUGGAGCGAAUCUCAUAAAGUCUGUCCCAGUUCGG